UGUUUCAGGCACCUUCAGAUU
rnacentral:snRNA from 1 species